rnacentral:rRNA from 1 species
AUUGAACGCUGGCGGCAUGCUUUACACAUGCAAGUCGAGCGGCAGCGCGGGGGCAACCCUGGCGGCGAGCGGCGAACGGGUGAGGAAUACAUCGGAACGUACCCCGGAGUGGGGGAUAACGCCGCGAAAGCGGCGCUAAUACCGCAUAUGCUCUGAGGAGGAAAGUGGGGACCGCAAGGCCUCACGCUCUGGGAGCGCCGAUGUCCGAUUAGCUAGUUGGUGGGGUAAAGGCCCACCAAGGCGACGAUCGGUAGCUGGUCUGAGAGGAUGAUCAGCCACACUGGGACUGAGACACGGCCCAGACUCCUACGGGAGGCAGCAGUGGGGGAAUUUUGGACAAUGGGGGCAACCCUGAUCCAGCCAUGCCGCGUGCGGGAAGAAGGCCUUCGGUG